rnacentral:tRNA from 1 species
GCUUUCGUGGUGUAACGGUAGCACACUCGACUCGUAUCCGAGAGGUCCAGGUUCGAGUCCCGGCGAGGACA